rnacentral:pre_miRNA from 15 species
UGUCCUAUUACUGAGCACUGUUCUAUGGUUAGUUUUGCAGGUUUGCAUCCAGCUGUGUGAUAUUCUGCUGUGCAAAUCCAUGCAAAACUGACUGUGGUAGUGAAAAGUCUGUAGAAAAGUA